AGAGUUUGAUCCUGGCUCAGAUUGAACGCUGGCGGCAUGCCUUACACAUGCAAGUCGAACGGCAGCAUGGAGAGCUUGCUCUCUGAUGGCGAGUGGCGAACGGGUGAGUAAUACAUCGGAACGUGUCCGUUUGUGGGGGACAACCGUCCGAAAGGAUGGCUAAUACCGCAUAAGACCUGAGGGUGAAAGCCGGGGACCGCAAGGCCCGGCGCAGACGGAGCGGCCGAUGAUUGAUUAGCUAGUUGGGGAGGUAAAGGCUCACCAAGGCGACGAUCAAUAGCUGGUCUGAGAGGACGACCAGCCACACUGGAACUGAGACACGGUCCAGACUCCUACGGGAGGCAGCAGUGGGGAAUUUUGGACAAUGGGGGCAACCCUGAUCCAGCCAUGCCGCGUGCGGGAAGAAGGCCUUCGGGUUGUAAACCGCUUUUGUCAGGGACGAAAAGCUCCGGAGUAAUAUGCCGGAGUGCUGACGGUACCUGAAGAAUAAGCACCGGCUAACUACGUGCCAGCAGCCGCGGUAAUACGUAGGGUGCGAGCGUUAAUCGGAAUUACUGGGCGUAAAGCGUGCGCAGGCGGUUGGGUAAGACAGAUGUGAAAUCCCCGGGCUUAACCUGGGAACUGCAUUUGUGACUGUCCGACUGGAGUACGUCAGAGGGGGGUGGAAUUCCACGUGUAGCAGUGAAAUGCGUAGAUAUGUGGAAGAACACCGAUGGCGAAGGCAGCCCCCUGGGACGCAACUGACGCUCAUGCACGAAAGCGUGGGGAGCAAACAGGAUUAGAUACCCUGGUAGUCCACGCCCUAAACGAUGUCUGCUGGUUGUUGGGAAUUUAAUUCUCAGUAACGAAGCCAACGCGUGAAGCAGACCGCCUGGGGAGUACGGUCGCAAGAUUAAAACUCAAAGGAAUUGACGGGGACCCGCACAAGCGGUGGAUGAUGU
rnacentral:rRNA from 1 species